rnacentral:sRNA from 1 species
AAUAGGUUUUUAAGAUCAAUUAAUCCUAAAGCACUAUCAUGUCGUUGUAGUCUUUUAGGUUGUCAAUCCAAAUGGGUGUCAUGCUAACAAUCAAGAUGUGAUCAGAAGUCACUAAGUCAAGCAAAGCAAUAACAUGUUUUGGUGUGUUCUAGCAGUUCUAAAUGAACAUGCAUAAAACAGAAAUUCAAGCAGAAACAAUAAAACACUCGACCAACACAACUCUUUGCAGAGCACUGGGUGAGGUCGAGUGACAGGUCGAGUAACAGACAGAAAGUAUAACACAGUUAUUCGACUGCAUAGUCUGUUGCCAGACAACUGGGUGGUCGAGUAACGAAAAAGAAUUGUAGAAAUUAAGCAACAGAUGACAAGAUGCAGUAAACAACAGUAGUGUAAACAAAGAAUUCAAUCAGAUAAAGAAUUCUCGAGGAUGGGGUAAUUGAGUAGUUUCGUUUCCUCAGUUUACAAGUGAUUGACAUGCUCAAUAAAUUAUCCCUAGACAACAAGUUCGUUAACCAAAUCUAAGUGUCACCGCAAUAGAGAUCCUCAAGUUAACCUAGUCCCAGACUCAAUCACCAUUGACGAGAGCUCACCUAACAUGCAUUACGAAUCAACAAGUUAAAGCCAAAACGCUCCCUGCAACCAAUACCUUGGUACAGGGCCAUGAAUCUCUGGAAUUAGUGGUUCAGACAUUUCAUCGAACAUCUUUUGGGCGCGGAAAUGUCUGGGCUCAAAUUCCAGUUGAUCAGAAAGCAAUAGGCAUUAAGAACAACUAAUCCAGAAGGGAUCUAUCAAUCAAUACUCAACCACCUAACAUACUGAGAAUUCUACACUACUCUAACCCAUCCUCAGAAACCUAUUCACUACUUAGACAUCAUAGCAGAAAGCAUAAACGUUGAACAGGUUGAAAACAUGAUAACAACAGUGUAACAGCAGGAUGAUAACAGAAUGAACAACAGUAAAAGAAAUCAAAAAUAAAUACUGAAUACUGAAUAAAUAAAGAGAAAUCCGGAUUACUAAAGGUCUAGAACACAGUGUCUGCGGAAUAAAACUAGAUAAAAACUUGUUUGCAAAAAUGUGAAGUACAUGCUACUUAUAGCAAAAUAUUCCGAAACCCUAAUACUUAAAACGACGCAGUAUUGGGACGGAUUAAGAAUUGUACUCGACCCAGGUGGUCGAGUGGGAGGUCGAGUUAAUAGAUGGAGUCUUCUUUUCUUCCUUGUGCUCGAGUGUCUGGUUGAGUGCGGAAUGAAGAAGACUCUGAAGCUCGCAAUCGAGUAUGUAGCCGAGUGGUGGUGAUGGUGAUACUCGAUUUCAAGGUAGAGUGGUGAGAUCGAGUGGUUGUCUGGUAAUGGUGGUGAAGACACUCGACCUCGGGGUCGAGUGAGGUGAUCGAGUGAUGGUCAGGUGAUGGAGAUGAAGACACUCGACCUCGUGGUCGAGUGGUGAGGUGAAUUUGUGAUGUCCUCUACUCGACCAGGGGGUCGAGUGGUCUUCUGAGGUUGUGAAGCGUCUACUCGACAUGGGAGUCGAGUGGUUUUACAUGAUCAGAUCCGCUUCUUCCAAUUAGCUCGUCAACAGCUCCGAAUCACCUGAAAACAACACAAAUAUGCAACAUGCAUGCAAAACUAUCCUAAACAUGCAAAGUGAUGACAAAUGAUGAGAAAUGGUAUAAAAAGUGAUGAUAUGAUGCUAAAGUGAUGACAAAUGGAUGCUCAAAACAUGCAAAAUACACACUUAUCAACUCCUUCAAACGUAGUCUUUGCUUGCCCUCAAGCAAACAAUCAAGAACAAGCUGGAAGUGAGGUUUGAAAGCGGGGACUAAGAGCCAAAGCACCAGAUAAACAAGAUGAAAUCAAUCUCCAAGUUGAAAGUUCUAAUCUACAAUAUGAUCGAAUUCUACUCAAAAACGUUAGCCAUACCUCAUUAUCAAUCAAUCUGACUCAUAUGCUCGACCUACACAUGUUUUCAAAUCUAUCAAUCCCUUUAACAUUCAUUAGUUUUGUAACAUGAAUCAAGCAAUGCAUCAUCAAUGAACUCAUUUGGCUAAGGUAAAAGGUCAAGAGACAAAGAUGGUCCCUUACAGAAUAGGCUUCAGUAACAGGGGAUCUCUCAAAAAAUGAUUAAGCUUUAGUAGAAUGCUAAAGGUAAGUCCCAAGCUAUGCAUACAGAGAUAAGAUCCCAUCUACCCAGAGUAUAUCAAAUGAAGCUCUAAUGGUAAUCCCAUCUCCAAUCCCAAUAUAAGAACUUAACUCUACCCUUUGCAUUCAUGAAUCUUUUAAGCCCUUUUUCUAAUCAUUCUUUUCUUUUCUCUUAACUCUAGGAGAAGCUUUCUCAACACUUUGAUACAUCUAGCGGAUUUGGAUUUCUUUAACAACUAAGAUUCCUGUUUUUAACAUUUUAAAACCAAGGGGUUUUGCCCAUCUUCAAUAGAUAACAAAACUCUUUCUUUUCUUUACAAAUCCCAAAACCUUUACUAGACUUUUUCUGCUUCUUUAGCUUACUUCACCUAGAGUCUUCUACCUUUUCUUAUCAAUGAAUCAACCUUUUUUUUUU